CUUGGUGAGAAGAGCUACGGGGGUACACCCAGAAACAUUCCGAACCUGGAAGUUAAGCCCGUAAACGCUGAAAGUACUUGGAGGGAAGCCUCCUGGGAGGAUAGGAACUUGCCAAGU
rnacentral:rRNA from 1 species